CGGGAUGCAGCAGUGGGGAAUAUUGGGCAAUGGAGGAAACUCUGACCCAGCGACGCCGCGUGCGGGAUGAAGGCCUUCGGGUUGUAAACCGCUUUCAGCAGGGAAUAAGCGCAAGUGAAGGUACCUGCAGAAGAAGCACCGGCUAACUAUGUGCCAGCAGCCGCGGUAAUACAUAGGGUGCAAGCGUUGUCCGGAAUUAUUGGGCGUAAAGAGCUCGUAGGUGGUUCGUCACGUCGGAUGUGAAAAUCUGGGGCUUAACCCCAGACCUGCAUUCGAUACGGGCGAGCUAGAGUGUGGUAGGGGAGACUGGAAUUCCUGGUGUAGCGGUGGAAUGCGCAGAUAUCAGGAGGAACACCAAUGGCGAAGGCAGGUCUCUGGGCCAUUACUGACACUGAGGAGCGAAAGCGUGGGGAGCGAACAGGAUUAGAUACCCCGGU
rnacentral:rRNA from 1 species